GAUCCUGACUCAGGACGAACGCUGGCGGCACGCUUAACACAUGCAAGUCGAACGAGAGAAGAGAAGCUUGCUUUUCUGAUCUAGUGGCGGACGGGUGAGUAACACGUGAGCAAUCUGCCUUUCAGAGGGGGAUACCGAUUGGAAACGAUCGUUAAUACCGCAUAAUAUAAUUGAACCGCAUGAUUUGAUUAUCAAAGAUUUAUCGCUGAAAGAUGAGCUCGCGU
rnacentral:rRNA from 1 species